AAUCAACGCUGGCGGCGCGCCUAACACAUGCAAGUCGAACGCGAGAGGGGCUUCGGCCCCGAUUGAGUGACGAACGGGUGAGUAACGCGUGGGUGACCUACCUUCGAGUGGGGAGUAACGUCCCGAAGGGACGCUAAUACCGCAUAACAUCCUGCUUUUGUAAUGGGUGGAGAUCAAAGCCGGGGAUCGCAAGACCUGGCGCUUGAUGAGGGGCCCGCGUCUGAUUAGCUAGUUGGGA
rnacentral:rRNA from 1 species